rnacentral:lncRNA from 1 species
AUCAUCUCUAAAUCCUCACGAAAUACAUACAAACACCCUCGGUUUACUAAUUUUUUUUUGAAGGCGGUGAACAUCUCCUCGAACGCUGCGGUGUUAGCAUUAGUGUUAACCUCGAAUACGUUCGCUGCUGGAGUGGUGCCAAUGUUGUCAUUUUCGAUGAUAUCUCCAUCAACACGAGCUUGGUUGUCGUCUGUUGCCACGUCUGAUCUAACGUUUGUGGCUGAGAGUUAGAUUUGAUCCAUCCCCGCCCCCCUCCUUCUAGCGCCAAACUGUGGGAACCAAAAUUCACGCCGUCGAUUUUUGUUAAAUUAGAAAAGAUAGGAAAUCCUAAAUUUUCCAGAGGUCCCGGAUAUCUGCUAAACUACACGCCAAGCAAUCAUAACACGAGAAACAUGCUAAGUAUAAAAUUGAUGAAUCGAAGAGAGAGCAAAGAAGAUCUUAUUCGAAUCUGGGUAGGAGCGUUUUGCAACAGGUAAGAGCCUUGGCCACAAGAGCUGUCGUCGAGUUCUAUAGUUCUAACAACCUAAGGCUUUGUAACCUAGUUGAGUCGCAGCUCGAUAACAAAAACGAAAAUUGCCUAAAUUAUACCCUAAGUUCUAAGUUUUCUAUGUGUACAAAAUUCUUUCUCUUGCACCUCUCGCCUUUGCAUCCCUUAUAUACUCCUUCU